AUUGAACGCUGGCGGCAUGCUUUACACAUGCAAGUCGAACGGUAACAGGGUGCUUGCACCGCUGACGAGUGGCAAACGGGUGAGUAAUGCGUCGGAACGUGCCGGGUAGUGGGGGAUAACGCAGCGAAAGUUGUGCUAAUACCGCAUACGUACUGAGGUAGAAAGUGGGGGACCUUCGGGCCUCACGCUAUUCGAGCGGCCGACGUCUGAUUAGCUAGUAGGUGAGGUAAAGGCUCACCUAGGCGACGAUCAGUAGCGGGUCUGAGAGGAUGAUCCGCCACACUGGGACUGAGACACGGCCCAGACGCCUACGGGAGGCAGCAGUGGGGAAUUUUGGACAAUGGGCGAAAGCCUGAUCCAGCCAUGCCGCGUGUCUGAAGAAGGCCUUCGGGUUGUAAAGGACUUUUGUCAGGGAGGAAAUCCCUAGUGCUAAUAACACUGGGGGAUGACAGUACCUGAAGAAUAAGCACCGGCUAACUACGUGCCAGCCGCCGCAGUAA
rnacentral:rRNA from 1 species